UGAGUUCGCAGUCGGCGCACAGUCUUGUUACUAAUGCUUUUGAUGGUGUCCAUCUAUAUCUAAGGAAUAUUUUAUCCUCCGUUUGCGACCUUGCCCAUCGUUUUGGCUACCUUUAAUCCCCAACACAGCAGCAGUAAGGGGCUCAGCGCGCAACAUAUAACAGAACACGGGUAAUUCCCGCGGGGGACGCUAGUGCGUAAACACGGGUAAUUCCCGGGCAAUCCCAAAUGGUGACCGCGAGUCCCCCUUACUGCUGCUUAGUUAGGAGCUUGUAAAUAUUGAUUGAAUUUCUUCGUAAUGUCGCAGUCAGGAAAUUCAGAUCAACACAACCGGCGAAGAAGAAGACGGUGGAUGAAAUUCAAAAAGACCCUGUAUAUGCUGAGAUCCCUGAAGAACAACGUAACAACGCACCUCCAGUUGAUCAGGCGGGAGGUAUAUAUAGCUAUGCAUUUGACGACCCACAGACAGCAUAUAUAGCACCCCAACCAGCUCCAUAUAACAGACUGGAGCACAAACAACAAGGGCUUAAUCAGGAAGGGGCGUUAUACUCCACUGCAGAUGAUGGUCCUGUGUAUAAUGUCCUAGAACGUCCCCUAGCUGAGAACAAUAUUAUUAUGGCGCCAGAGAGUACCGUGAAUGAGGGACCUCCGUCUCAAGUCCUCGAGCCAGAGUAUCUAGUCCUUGAGGAGCCCGAUACAACAAAUGGAAACAAGGACGUAAGACCCUCGAUUGGGACAGCCAAUCCUAGCGGACCUCAAAAUAUGGCUCCGAAAUCAAGAAGAAGGCCUCCUAGUCCACCAAGAAAAAUAUGAUUGUCAAAGUAAUGGAAUGACACGUAGUUUAAAAUCGGAAAACAUAAUGCCCAAGCUAAAGGAGGUCCCUUGCACGGAGUCCCUAGAGGAAUUGUUCUGGGGCACAAAACGAUGGAUUUUUUAUUUUGUAUUUUUACAUAAGAAAAGACGCCCUAUAUUGUUUGUCCCCCAGAGUAAAGUCACUAAACCCGUGGAACAGAUAUUCGACUGUAACACAUUAAUAGACUUUAAUUCCAUUGUU